GAUGAACGCUGGCGGCGUGCCUAAUACAUGCAAGUCGAGCGAACAGACGAGGAGCUUGCUCCUCUGACGUUAGCGGCGGACGGGUGAGUAACACGUGGAUAACCUACCUAUAAGACUGGGAUAACUUCGGGAAACCGGAGCUAAUACCGGAUAAUAUAUUGAACCGCAUGGUUCAAUAGUGAAAGACGGUUUUGCUGUCACUUAUAGAUGGAUCCGCGCCGCAUUAGCUAGUUGGUAAGGUAACGGCUUACCAAGGCGACGAUGCGUAGCCGACCUGGGAGGGGGAGCGGCCCACCGGGAAUGGGAACCGGGACCGGCACCCAAGGGAGGCCCCAGGGGGGAAGGUUGGCCGAAGGGGGGAAGCCUGAACGAGCCAACGCGGGGGGGGGAAGAAAGGCUUCGGGUUGGAAAACCCUUUUUUUGGGGAAAAAAAAAAGGUGUAAUUAACAAGGCUGGUUUGACGGGACCCAAAAAAGAAGCACCGGCUAACUUCGUG
rnacentral:rRNA from 1 species